UCCCUGGUGGCUCAGAGGUUAAAGCAUCUGCCUGCAAUGCAGGAGAGCCUGGUUUGAUCCCUGGGUCGGGAA
rnacentral:tRNA from 1 species